rnacentral:rRNA from 1 species
GAUGAACGCUGGCGGCGUGCCUAAUACAUGCAAGUCGAGCGGACGGACGAGAAGCUUGCUUCUCUGAUGUUAGCGGCGGACGGGUGAGUAACACGUGGAUAACCUACCUAUAAGACUGGGAUAACUUCGGGAAACCGGAGCUAAUACCGGAUAAUAUUUUGAACCGCAUGGUUCAAAAGUGAAAGACGGUCUUGCUGUCACUUAUAGAUGGAUCCGCGCUGCAUUAGCUAGUUGGUAAGGUAACGGCUUACCAAGGCAACGAUGCAUAGCCGACCUGAGAGGGUGAUCGGCCACACUGGAACUGAGACACGGUCCAGACUCCUACGGGGGGCAGCAGUAGGGAAUCUUCCGCAAUGGGCGAAAGCCUGACGGAGCAACGCCGCGUGAGUGAUGAAGGUCUUCGGAUCGUAAAACUCUGUUAUUAGGGAAGAACAUAUGUGUAAGUAACUGUGCACAUCUUGACGGUACCUAAUCAGAAAGCCACGGCUAACUACGUG